GGAGCCCUGACAAUUGUCCAUCGUUCACCACAGUCUAAGCCUGCCCCCCGCCAAGCUGCUGGAUUGAGUCUCAACUGUAGGAACAUCAGCAGCAUGGCAGAGAGCGGGAUAGCAAGUAAGGACAAUGACAACGGACGGGAGCAAGGAGAUGAGAGGGAUAUACUUCUUUUAAGGACCUCUUUUGGGAUUUUAUGUCUUGGAAGAAAAUGUAAUAAUUGUAGAUGUUACAACAACUGCUUGUCAUUUUAUAAAUUGUUUUUAGAGUUUUGUUCUACUUUAGCAAACAAUCUUGCACUUUACCCUCAAAAUAUUUUCACUGUUUUCACUUGUGAGGUUCUUAUUCCCCUUAUUGUGUAUAUGUGUGUGUGUGUGUGUGUGUCAGAGGGGAAAAGAAUACAAGGAGAGGGUAAGAAAAGGAGGAAAAGAGUCUGUGUUCAGGUGGGUUUUUUUAACUUCAUUGGUGUGUGUGUGUGUGUGUGUGUGUGUGUGUGUGUGUUGGGGAAGCAGUGCGGCCAGGCUGCAGAUAUCAUCCAUCUCCCUGUCACUGGCCCAAAGGCUGCUGGGAAAGUGGCAGACAGCUCCCUGGCUCUGACAGCAGAGGCAGCAUCCUCAUUUUCUGACACAGAAUGCUUGAGAAACCUGGGCUGCUCCUCCCUCACUACCCAAUAUGGGAAACCAUUAACCCGCGAUCCAGGAACAAAGCAUGGAGCUCAGCUUGGCCUACCACUGUCAUAUCAGCUCCCGUCAUCUACCAACUAUUAAAUCCACCACAGACUCAAUGAAUUUAGUGAUGCCAUCAGUGACAUUGAUGGUGUCCUCCUGGAAGGUUCUCCAGACUCUGGAUGGCUCCAUCUCUGGAGUUACUGGGGGAUGCAUCAUAGUCUGUCCAUACAUCCUGACCCCAACAAGAUGGCUGCAUGGUCACCCCUUCCAAAAUACAGGCAACGCCGCUCUGCAGCCACCUCUGAAGAGCAUAUGGCAGUGAUCCAGAGCUGGAACAAGACAGCUCCUCACUUUCCCACUGUCACACCAGUGUGUAUUUAUUAUGAAGCGUACACCUCCUCCCUUUCUCUCCUUUCCUUUGUCAAAUCAGCAUAUGGAAGUAGAGUCACCUGUUUGAAUGGUGAUGUCCAGAAUUUAACCAAGUUUCAGAGAAACAAAGGAUGCUACAGUUCCUGAUAUCCCCGUUGGAAACAUGUGGCAAAGAGGUCGUCCAGUUUAGAAUCCAACCCCUGUACCAUGGCUAGCAGGAUGCUAGUUCAGCUGAGCCAAUCUGUUCUCUCUCUUCCUCAACAUUUACUGAUGUUGAAAAUUCUGAGCUGGCUAUAUGGCACAAGUUGGUGGGAGGAGAGUUUAUAGACUGGUGAGUUGAUUUCCUCAUCCUGGUAUGUGACUCACAGCUACACACCCCCACUGUCGAACACCAGCCACAAAAACUCCACCGAUGUGUGAAGUAGCCCAAAUUUAGCAGAGUUGAUGGAGAAGUGUCUGGAAACAUCUGCGUCUACGUCAAAUAAUGAUGAUAAUAAUAAUAAUGAUGAUAA